GAUGGAAAAACAGUGGCGGCUUUUGAUCUUGUUUGUACCAAGAUUGGAAGAGUGAUCACAGGCAGCCAAAGUGAAGAGCGCCUUGACAUGCUAACUACAAGAAUCAAGGAAUUUGACUUGUCAAGAGAUCAAUAUGAAUGGUACCAAGAUCUUUGCAGGCAUGGAAC